UAUGAAAAAAAGAAUAGUAUAUAUUCUGUCGAGUAUCAUAUAGAGAAUAUGUUAAAAGAAACCAUAAGUGUCUUGAGUAAAGAUUGUGAAAAUUAUAUAAAUUUAAUAAUUUCGUCAAAAUGGAAUCCAUGGGAUACCGAAUUAGAUUUUCAACAACAUCGUAUUAUUGCUGAAGAAAUGCGUUCCAUAAUAAACGAAUGUGAAAGAAUUUACAAUCCAGCAGCGAAAGCGAAGUGCUUUACAACAUUGGAAAAAAUUUAUUACCGCUUAGAGAAAUUUACCAAACAUGUUCAAGGAUGUUGGCCACAUGUCUAUUUGUGGAUGUUGUAUGGAGGGAAAAAAGUUGCUUUUUAUCGGCUUGAUCCUAGAGAUAUCAUCUUUUCUGAAAUUGAAGAAGAGCAAGGACGGUUGUGCUCCGUUUUGCAUCAUACAUUCUUUGAGGUAGA